GACGAACGCUGGCGGCGUGCUUAACACAUGCAAGUCGAACGGUAAGGCCCUUCGGGGUACACGAGUGGCGAACGGGUGAGUAACACGUGGGUGAUCUGCCCUGCACUUCGGGAUAUGCCUGGGAACCUGGGUCUUAUACCGGAUAGGACCACUGCCUGCAUGGGUGGCGGUGGAAAGCUUUUGCGGUGUGGGAUUGGCCCGCGGCCUAUCAGCUUGUUGGUGGGGUGAUGGCCUAACAAGGCGACGACGGGUAGGCGGCGUUAGAGGGUGACCGGCCACACUGGGAAUGAGAUACGGCCCAGACUCCUACGGGAGGCAGCAAUGGGGAAUAUUGCACAAUGGGCGCAAGCCUGAUGCAGCGACGCCGCGUGAGGGAUGACGGCCUUCGGGUUGUAAACCUCUUUCAGCACCGACGAUGCGCAAGUGACGGUAGGUGCAGAAGAAGGACCGGCCAACUACGUGCCAGCCGCCGCAGUAA
rnacentral:rRNA from 1 species